UCCGUUGUAGUCUAGUUGGUUAGGAUACUCGGCUCUCACCCGAGGCCAGGUUCAAGUCCCGGCAACGGAA
rnacentral:tRNA from 1 species